GAUGAACGCUGGCGGCGUGCUUAACACAUGCAAGUCGAGCGGAGUUAUUUCAAGGAAGUUUUCGGAUGGAAUUGAAAUGACUUAGCGGCGGACGGGUGAGUAACGCGUGGGUAACCUGCCUCAUACAGGGGGAUAACAGUUGGAAACGACUACUAAUACCGCAUAAGCGCACAGUGCUGCAUAGCACAGUGUGAAAAACUCCGGUGGUAUGAGAUGGACCCGCGUCUGAUUAGGUAGUUGGUGGGGUAACGGCCCACCAAGCCGACGAUCAGUAGCCGACCUGAGAGGGUGACCGGCCACAUUGGGACUGAGACACGGCCCAAACUCCUACGGGAGGCAGCAGUGGGGAAUAUUGGACAAUGGGGGAAACCCUGAUCCAGCGACGCCGCGUGAGUGAAGAAGUAUUUCGGUAUGUAAAGCUCUAUCAGCAGGGAAGAAAAUGACGGUACCUGACUAAGAAGCCCCGGCUAACUACGUGCCAGCCGCCGCCGUAA
rnacentral:rRNA from 1 species